rnacentral:rRNA from 1 species
CAAGUAAUUAAGUGCAUGUGGUGGAUGCCUUGGCAGUCAGAGGCGAUGAAAGACGUGAUAGCCUGCGAAAAGCUCCGGGGAGGCGGCAAAUAUCCUUUGAUCCGGAGAUGUCUGAAUGGGGGAACCCACCUACUUUAAGGUAGGUAUUGCAACAUGAAUACAUAGUGUUGCAAGGCGAACGAGGGGAAGUGAAACAUCUCAGUACCCUUAGGAAAAGAAAUCAAUUGAGAUUCCCUCAGUAGCGGCGAGCGAACGGGGAUCAGCCCAUUAAGUUAUGUGUGUUUUAGUGGAACGCUCUGGGAAGUGCGAACGUAGAGGGUGAUAUUCCCGUACACGAAAGGGCACACAUAAUGAUGACGAGUAGGGCGAGGCACGUGAAACCUUGUCUGAAUAUGGGGGGACCAUCCUCCAAGGCUAAAUACUCCUGACUGACCGAUAGUGAACCAGUACCGUGAGGGAAAGGCGAAAAGAACCCCUGUGAGGGGAGUGAAAUAGAUCCUGAAACCGCAUGCAUACAAGCAGUGGGAGCACCUUCGUGGUGUGACUGCGUACCUUUUGUAUAAUGGGUCAGCGACUUAUAUUCAGUAGCGAGGUUAACCGUAUAGGGGAGCCGUAGAGAAAUCGAGUCUUAAUAGGGCGUUUAGUUGCUGGGUAUAGACCCGAAACCAGGCGAUCUAUCCAUGAGCAGGUUGAAGGUUGGGUAACACUAACUGGAGGACCGAACCCACUGUCGUUGAAAAGCCAGGGGAUGACUUGUGGAUAGGGGUGAAAGGCUAAUCAAGCCUGGUGAUAGCUGGUUCUCCCCGAAAGCUAUUUAGGUAGCGCCUCGGACGAAUACCAUAGGGGGUAGAGCACUGUUUCGGCUAGGGGGUCAUCCCGACUUACCAAACCGAUGCAAACUCCGAAUACCUAUGAGUACUAUCCGGGAGACAGACUGCGGGUGCUAACGUCCGUAGUCAAGAGGAAAACAAUCCAGACCGCCAGCUAAGGCCCAAAAUCAUAGUUAAGUGGGAAACGAUGUGGGAAGGCAUAGACAGCUAGGAGGUUGGCUUAGAAGCAGCCACCCUUUAAAGAAAGCGUAAUAGCUCACUAGUCGAGUCGGCCUGCGCGGAAGAUGUAACGGGGCUAAAACUAUGUGCCGAAGCUGCGGAUGUAUACUUUGUAUACGUGGUAGGGGAGCGUUCUGUAAGCCGAUGAAGGUGUGUUGAGAAGCAUGCUGGAGGUAUCAGAAGUGCGAAUGCUGACGUGAGUAACGACAAAACGGGUGAAAAACCCGUUCGCCGAAAGACCAAGGGUUCCAGUCCAACGUUAAUCGGGGCUGGGUGAGUCGACCCCUAAGGCGAGGCCGAAAGGCGUAGUCGAUGGGAAAAUGGUUAAUAUUCCAUUACUUCUGUGUAAUGCGAUGAGAGGACGGAGAAGGCUAAAUCAGCCUGGCGUUGGUUGUCCAGGUGAAAGGAUGUAGGCAUGUAUCUUAGGCAAAUCCGGGGUACUCUAUGCUGAGAUCUGAUAGCAAGCUGUACUUGUACAGCGAAGUGGUUGAUGCCAUGCUUCCAGGAAAAGUCUCUAAGCUUCAGUUACACAGGAAUCGUACCCGAAACCGACACAGGUGGUCAGGUCGAGUAGACCAAGGCGCUUGAGAGAACUCUGCUGAAGGAACUAGGCAAAAUGGUACCGUAACUUCGGGAGAAGGUACGCUGUUGUUGGUGAUGGAACUCGCUUCCUGAGCUGACGACAGCCGCAGAAACCAGGCCGCUGCAACUGUUUAUUAAAAACAUAGCACUCUGCAAACACGAAAGUGGACGUAUAGGGUGUGAUGCCUGCCCGGUGCUGGAAGGUUAAUUGAUGGGGUUAGCGUAAGCGAAGCUCUUGAUCGAAGCCCCAGUAAACGGCGGCCGUAACUAUAACGGUCCUAAGGUAGCGAAAUUCCUUGUCGGGUAAGUUCCGACCUGCACGAAUGGCAUAAUGAUGGCGGCGCUGUCUCCAGCAGAGGCUCAGUGAAAUCGAAAUCGCUGUGAAGAUGCAGUGUACCCGCGGCUAGACGGAAAGACCCCGUGAACCUUUACUGCAGCUUGACACUGAACUUUGACCUUACUUGUGUAGGAUAGGUGGGAGGCUUUGAAGCUGGAACGCUAGUUCCAGUGGAGCCGUCCUUGAAAUACCACCCUGGUAAUGUUGAGGUUCUAACUCUGUCCCGUGAUCCGGGACGAGGACCGUGUCUGGUGGGUAGUUUGACUGGGGCGGUCUCCUCCUAAAGAGUAACGGAGGAGUACGAAGGUGCGCUCAGCGUGGUCGGAAAUCACGCGUAGAGUAUAAAGGCAAAAGCGCGCUUAACUGCGAGACCCACAAGUCGAGCAGGUACGAAAGUAGGUCUUAGUGAUCCGGUGGUUCUGUAUGGAAGGGCCAUCGCUCAACGGAUAAAAGGUACUCUGGGGAUAACAGGCUGAUACCGCCCAAGAGUUCAUAUCGACGGCGGUGUUUGGCACCUCGAUGUCGGCUCAUCUCAUCCUGGGCUGAAGCAGGUCCCAAGGGUAUGGCUGUUCGCCAUUUAAAGAGGUACGCGAGCUGGGUUUAGAACGUCGUGAGACAGUUCGGUCCCUAUCUACCGUGGGCGCUGGAAAUUUGAGAGGAUCUGCUCCUAGUACGAGAGGACCAGAGUGGACGAACCUCUGGUGUACCGGUUGUGACGCCAGUCGCAUCGCCGGGUAGCUAUGUUCGGAAGGGAUAACCGCUGAAAGCAUCUAAGCGGGAAGCCUACCUCAAGAUAAGAUUUCCCUAGGACUUUAUGUCCUCUAAAGAGCCGUUCGAGACUAGGACGUUGAUAGGUUGGAUGUGGAAGCAUAGUGAUAUGUGAAGCUGACCAAUACUAAUUGCUCGUGAGGCUUGACUA